GACGGGGGCCCGCACAAGCGGAGGAACAUGUGGUUUAAUUCGAUGAUACGCGAGGAACCUUACCUGGGCUUAAAUGGGGAGUGACAGCUGUCGAAAGAUGGUUUUCUUCGGACACUCUUCAAGGUGCUGCAUGGUUGUCGUCAGCUCGUGCCGUGAGGUGUCGGGUUAAGUCCCAUAACGAGCGCAACCCUUACCGUUAGUUACCAUCAGGUUAAGCUGGGGACUCUAGCGGGACUGCCACCGUAAGGUGAGAGGAAGUGGGGAUGACGUCAAAUCAGCACGGCCCUUAUGUCCAGGGCUACACACGUGUUACAAUGGCCAGUACAAAGGGCAGCUACCGGGUGACCGGAUGCUAAUCUCUAAAGCUGGUCUCAGUUCGGAUCGAAGUCUGCAACCCGACUUCGUGAAGCUGGAUUCGCUAGUAAUCGCGCAUCAGCCAUGGCGCGGUGAAUACGUUCCCGGGCCUU
rnacentral:rRNA from 1 species